rnacentral:lncRNA from 1 species
UUUUAUUAUAGACAUGAGCUGCCUCCCUCCCAUAGUGCUUGUUAUUAUGAAGUCAGGAUCUGUAGACUGAGCCCACAAUGCUGCACAGGCAAGGAGCUAGCUGUCCAUUCCCCUCAUGGAUGAGAUAGCAUGGAAUCUUUUGAGGCUGUAACUGAUGAUAGUGGAGAACAAACUGUCAAGAAAGCUACACUACUUUUGGCUUUCAUUCUGUCAGGAAUUAUUGGCUGCUUGACUGAUGCACAGACAUGUUGAAGGUACCAUGUACUAACUGAAAGACAAACUGAUAAGAUGGAUGACCAUAACUUUGUGCUUCAGGUGACACCACCCAUGAAAGAUAAUCUAGCCUGCACCAGAAAAAGGAAAUUUCUUCAUGUUAAUUUCCAUGAUACUUUUUUAUGCAGGUGCUCCAGAAACAUUCCUGUUUGAUGGUUCUUAACUUUUUCCAAUGGUCUUCAAAAAAGUCUGGGAAUAUAGACAUCUCCACUAGCCAUUUAAGACGAAAUGUUUGAUUCAAUUUUUUUUUUACUUUGUACAAAAAUCAACUAAAAAUGAAUCCAAAUUUUUAUGUGAUCUUGAACUUUGUUUGCUAAUAUUUUUUCUUUUCUUAUUAAUCAUACAUAGUUUUUCUCAUUAUAUAUAAUCUGAAUACAGCUUCCUCUCCCUCUACUCCUUCUCAUUCCUCCCACCUCUUCUAUCUAUAUCUAUCUCAUUUUAGUCUUAUUAGGAAAGGUCAGUCUUCUAAGACAUAACUAUGAAUCACAACAAAAUAAAAUAUGUGAUUAAACAAAAAAUUUUUUUCAUAUCAAAAUAAGGCAAGACAAGACAGGCUAAAAAGAAAGGAGCGACAAAUUAAAGUGCAAGAACCAGAAACUAAUUCAUUUCCAUGUUCUUGGGUCUCAUAAAAUUAAUAAACACAAGGGAAUAGUAUAUAUAUAUAUACAGAGGACCUCAUGUGUAUCAUUUAGGCCCGGUGAUUGAUGCUUCAGUCUCUAUGAGUGAACAUGAACCAAAUCACAUAAACGUGAAAUGUGAAAUUAUAUAUUUUUUAGAAACUAUCACUCAUAUUAGAAGCUGUGUAAUAUACCAAGGAUAAAUAUGUGUGUGUGUGUGAGAGACAGAGAGAGAGAGAGAGAAAGAGAGAGAGAGAGAGAGAGAGACAGACAGACAGACAGACAGAUAGAGAGACAGAGACAGACAGAGACAGACAGAGACAGACAGAGACAGAGACUGAGAGAUCAGGGAGAGUGUGAGAGAAGAUCAGAGGAAAAGUGUGAAAGAUCCAGGUCAGCUAAUAUAGUCCAUGAAGAUUUCCUAUAGCUAUGUAGAUAACUUCAAGAAUAGCAUUGGGGUGCUUUUUUCUGGUCCCUGUAACUGGUAGAACAGGGUCAAGCAAGACUCUUCAUGCUUUGGGAAAAUUCACUUACAACACUAACCAAAGCAAGGAGUUUGUAGAAUUUUCAGAGAAUGGGUGUAUAUAUAGAAUGCAGUUAGCUGAUGUUAUGCGGGAUCAUUGACCAGAGACUGCAAAGUGUACAGGAUGACAUCCCUGAAGAGUCCCAAGGAUAUGCUAUGGACAAAUACCUGAGAUUCUUUGACAAGUAUUAACAGAUAGCCGUCAUUGACUACUUCGCAAUAUUAUUAAAUCUAUGAAGUUCCCAUGAUGAUCUGAUUGACAUGGUUACAUGGAUAGGAUGAAUAUCAUUUAGUCCAACCACAGAGAUAUAAUCAGAGACAACCAAGGAAUGUUGAGAUGGGAAGAAAUAUCCUUUUCAAGAGAAGAGUCUCUCAAUUGGUCUUUCAUUAUCAGCUUGUUAGUCCUGAAAUACAAUACAUACAGGUUGCACAUUAUGGAAAAAGCAGUUGUAUUUGCACACACAGACACACUCACUCACACACACACACACAAACAUGCAUACACACAAGAUGGCUUUGAGAGAGGAAGUGUCAGAUUUCUUUAAGAGUUCCACUUUUCAGAGACUCAGUUCCAUCAAUGCCUCUACCCUAGGCACACACUAGCUUCUCUCAGAAGAUUUAGUGAUUUUUUUUUAAGGAACACAUAAUAUUUGGAGGGAAUUACUGUGGGUGGUUAAUAAAUAAAAGCAAUUGAAAAGAAAUAAUCUUUUUUAUAUAUUCAUAAAACACAUACGGCUGUAUGAAACACUCAAAUAUUUUAACUAAUACAAUUGUAAAACUAAAAGUUAAUUAAGUUGAUUUGUGUUGGAAGAAGUAAUUAAAGACUGUG